UUAAAUUGAAGAGUUUGAUCAUGGCUCAGAUUGAACGCUGGCGGCAGGCCUAACACAUGCAAGUCGAACGGUAACAGGAAGCAGCUUGCUGUUUUGCUGACGAGUGGCGGACGGGUGAGUAAUGUCUGGGAAACUGCCUGAUGGAGGGGGAUAACUACUGGAAACGGUAGCUAAUACCGCAUAACGUCGCAAGACCAAAGAGGGGGACCUUAGGGCCUCUUGCCAUCGGAUGUGCCCAGAUGGGAUUAGCUAGUAGGUGGGGUAACGGCUCACCUAGGCGACGAUCCCUAGCUGGUCUGAGAGGAUGACCAGCCACACUGGAACUGAGACACGGUCCAGACUCCUACGGGAGGCAGCAGUGGGGAAUAUUGCACAAUGGGCGCAAGCCUGAUGCAGCCAUGCCGCGUGUAUGAAGAAGGCCU
rnacentral:rRNA from 1 species